rnacentral:rRNA from 1 species
UGCAUAUCAAUAAGCGGAGGAAAAGAAACCAACAGGGAUUGCCUUAGUAGCGGCGAGUGAAGCGGCAAAAGCUCAAAUUUGAAAUCUGGCACUUUCAGUGUCCGAGUUGUAAUUUGAAGAAGGUAUCUUUGGGUCUGGCUCUUGUCUAUGUUUCUUGGAACAGAACGUCACAGAGGGUGAGAAUCCCGUGCGAUGAGAUGUCCCAGACCUAUGUAAAGUUCCUUCGAAGAGUCGAGUUGUUUGGGAAUGCAGCUCUAAGUGGGUGGUAAAUUCCAUCUAAAGCUAAAUAUUGGCGAGAGACCGAUAGCGAACAAGUACAGUGAUGGAAAGAUGAAAAGAACUUUGAAAAGAGAGUGAAAAAGUACGUGAAAUUGUUGAAAGGGAAGGGCUUGAGAUCAGACUUGGUAUUUUGUAUGUUACUCUCUCGGGGGUGGCCUCUACAGUUUACCGGGCCAGCAUCAGUUUGAGCGGUAGGAUAAGUGCAAAGAAAUGUGGCACUGCUUCGGUAGUGUGUUAUAGUCUUUGUCGAUACUGCCAGCUUA